UGAAAUACUUCAAAAAGAGCAUCUGUGGUAGAACAUCUGCUUGGCAUGCAGGAGAUCUCAGGUUCAAUCCCUGGCAUUUCUAAU
rnacentral:tRNA from 1 species